CAAUAGCGUAUAUUAAAGUUGUUGCGGUUAAAAAGCUCGUAGUUGGAUUUCUGCUGAGGAUGACCGGUCCGCCCUCCGGGUGAGUAUCUGGCUCAGCCUUGGCAUCUUCCUGAAGAACGUAACUGCACUUGACUGUGUGGUGCGGUAUUUAGGACAUUUACUUUGAGGAAAUUAGAGUGUUUCAAGCAAGCGCACGCCUUGAAUACAUUAGCAUGGAAUAAUAAGAUAGGACCUCGGUUCUAUUUUGUUGGUUUCUAGAGCUGAGGUAAUGAUUGAUAGGGAUAGUUGGGGGCAUUCGUAUUUAACUGUCAGAGGUGAAAUUCUUGGAUUUGCUAAAGACGGACUACUGCGAAAGCAUUUGCCAAGGAUGUUUUCAUUGA
rnacentral:rRNA from 1 species